rnacentral:rRNA from 1 species
GAGACUCUGUGCGCGUGCAUAUCAAUAAGCGGAGGAAAAGAAACUAACUAGGAUUCCCUUAGUAACGGCGAGUGAAGCGGGAAGAGCUCAAAUUUGAAAUCUUCAAGGUUCUACCUUGACGAAUUGUAGUUUAAAGAAGUGUUUUCUGUUGGAGUUUCGGUAAAAGUUCUUUGGAAUAGGACAUCAUAGAGGGUGAGAAUCCCGUAUUUGACCGUUACUUUCCAGCUGUGUGAUACACUUUCAAAGAGUCGGAUUGUUUGGGAAUGCAGUCCAAGAUGGGUGGUAAAUUUCAUCUAAAGCUAAAUAUUGGCGAGAGACCGUUAGCGAACAAGUACCGUGAGGGAAAGAUGAAAAGAACUUUGAAAAGGGAGUUAAACAGUACGUGAAAUUGUCAAAAGGGAAGCGUUUGACACCAGUGUUGUUUAGUUGAAAAUCAAUUCAAUAGUUUUUGAUUCUAAGUAGUAUUGACUUCAUCAGCUUGCUGCUUUCUUCUCAGAAAUUAUUGAAUGCACUUUUCAGUUAACAAGUCAACAUCAAUUUCUUUUGUUGUAAAAGGGUAAGAGGAAGGUGGCUUGCGCUUCGGCUCAAGUGUUUAUAGCCUUUUAUCUCUGCAAUCGGAGAGAUUGAGGUCUGCAGCGUAGAUCCUUCGGGGUUAGAUACAUUGGUGCUAAGCUAUAGCCUUGUAUAGACAACUUGUUGACUAUGCUCAGUCAUGUAGCUUACUCGCUGAUGCUAUUUUACCUACGCUUAGGAUGUUGACAGCAGUAUAGACUGU